rnacentral:rRNA from 1 species
GGCAGGCUUAACACAUGCAAGUCGAGGGGUAACAGGGAAGAGCUUGCUUUUCCGCUGACGACCGGCGCACGGGUGAGUAACGCGUAUAGAACCUACCUUUUACAGGGGAAUAGCCCAGAGAAAUUUGGAUUAAUGCCCUAUAGUAUUAUUGAAUGGCAUCAUUUAGUAAUUAAACAUUUAUGGGUAAAAGAUGGCUAUGCGUUCUAUUAGCUAGAUGGUAAGGUAACGGCUUACCAUGGCAACGAUAGAUAGGGGUCCUGAGAGGGAGAUCCCCCACACUGGUACUGAGACACGGACCAGACUCCUACGGGAGGCAGCAGUGAGGAAUAUUGGACAAUGGAGGCAACUCUGAUCCAGCCAUGCCGCGUGCAGGAAGACGGCCCUAUGGGUUGUAAACUGCUUUUAUACGGGAAGAAACCCAACUACGUGUAGUUGGCUGACGGUACCGUAAGAAUAAGCACCGGCUAACUCCGUGCCAGCAGCCGCGGUAAUACGGAGGGUGCAAGCGUUAUCCGGAAUCAUUGGGUUUAAAGGGUCCGUAGGCGGGCUAAUAAGUCAGGGGUGAAAUCCAACAGCUUAACUGUUGAACUGCCUUUGAUACUGUUAGUCUUGAAUUAUAUGGAAGUAGAUAGAAUGUGUAGUGUAGCGGUGAAAUGCUUAGAGAUUACACAGAAUACCGAUUGCGAAGGCAGUCUACUACGUAUA